rnacentral:rRNA from 1 species
AUGAACGCUAGCUACAGGCUUAACACAUGCAAGUCGAGGGGCAGCAUGGUCUUAGCUUGCUAAGGCCGAUGGCGACCGGCGCACGGGUGAGUAACACGUAUCCAACCUGCCGUCUACUCUUGGACAGCCUUCUGAAAGGAAGAUUAAUACAAGAUGGCAUCAUGAGUCCGCAUGUUCACAUGAUUAAAGGUAUUCCGGUAGACGAUGGGGAUGCGUUCCAUUAGAUAGUAGGCGGGGUAACGGCCCACCUAGUCUUCGAUGGAUAGGGGUUCUGAGAGGAAGGUCCCCCACAUUGGAACUGAGACACGGUCCAAACUCCUACGGGAGGCAGCAGUGAGGAAUAUUGGUCAAUGGGCGAGAGCCUGAACCAGCCAAGUAGCGUGAAGGAUGACUGCCCUAUGGGUUGUAAACUUCUUUUAUAAAGGAAUAAAGUCGGGUAUGCAUACCCGUUUGCAUGUACUUUAUGAAUAAGGAUCGGCUAACUCCGUGCCAGCAGCCGCGGUAAUACGGAGGAUCCGAGCGUUAUCCGGAUUUAUUGGGUUUAAAGGGAGCGUAGAUGGAUGUUUAAGUCAGUUGUGAAAGUUUGCGGCUCAACCGUAAAAUUGCAGUUGAUACUGGAUGUCUUGAGUGCAGUUGAGGCAGGCGGAAUUCGUGGUGUAGCGGUGAAAUGCUUAGAUAUCACGAAGAACUCCGAUUGCGAAGGCAGCCUGCUAAGCUGCAACUGACAUUGAGGCUCGAAAGUGUGGGUAUCAAACAGGAUUGGAUACCCUGGUAGUCCACACGGUAAACGAUGAAUACUCGCUGUUUGCGAUAUACUGCAAGCGGCCAAGCGAAAGCGUUAAGUAUUCCACCUGGGGAGUACGCCGGCAACGGUGAAACUCAAAGGAAUUGACGGGGGCCCGCACAAGCGGAGGAACAUGUGGUUUAAUUCGAUGAUACGCGAGGAACCUUACCCGGGCUUAAAUUGCAGAUGAAUUACGGUGAAAGCCGUAAGCCGCAAGGCAUCUGUGAAGGUGCUGCAUGGUUGUCGUCAGCUCGUGCCGUGAGGUGUCGGCUUAAGUGCCAUAACGAGCGCAACCCUUGUUGUCAGUUACUAACAGGUUCUGCUGAGGACUCUGACAAGACUGCCAUCGUAAGAUGUGAGGAAGGUGGGGAUGACGUCAAAUCAGCACGGCCCUUACGUCCGGGGCUACACACGUGUUACAAUGGGGGGUACAGAGGGCCGCUACCACGCGAGUGGAUGCAAAUCCCAAAAACCUCUCUCAGUUCGGACUGGAGUCUGCAACCCGACUCCACGAAGCUGGAUUCGCUAGUAAUCGCGCAUCAGCCACGGCGCGGUGAAUACGUUCCCGGGCCUUGUACACACCGCCCGUCAAGCCAUGGGAGCCGGGGGUACCUGAAGUGCGUAACCGCGAGGAGCGCCCUAGGGUAAAACUGGUGACUGGGGCU